rnacentral:misc_RNA from 1 species
GAAUCAAGAGCAACAGAACAACCUACUUGAUUACAAUAGGGAGAAUUAGAAAACUCGGGAGUGCAGCCACUAACUAAAGUGGAACAUAUUUAGAUAGGUAUAAUCAAGCAAUUUCAAAGCAAAUCGAAUGCUAAUGUAUUUUUGAACCAAACAACAAAUGUCCAUCAAUUUUACCCGGCUUUUUUUUUCUCUCUUUCUAAACGAGUCAAAUUUAAUUUGUAAUAAUUACUAACAAGCCUUUUAAUGAACAAGCUCAUUUUCUAAUAUUCAUUAUUAUCAUUAUAAAGAAUACAUAAACAUAUACAUUUCAAAUUCAUUAACACAAGAUUGAUAUUUUUAUAUUAAUUUUUAUGGCACUAAUCACCAUUUCAUAAGGAUUUAUGGUUUUUUUUUUAAGCCAUAAGGAUUUAUGGUUAACAAAUAAAAAAGUAAUUACAAUAUUUAUUUAUUAAUAUUAAAUAAAUUAUUUGAGUAUUUAUAUAUGAGAAGUUAUACAAUUGUAUUUUAUAUGCGCUUUAGUAUGGUUUAGUUAACCAAAAUUUUCAAAUUGGUUUAAGGUUUUCAGUUUUCUUUGCACGAGUACUUCAGCAUAUCAUAUAACUGGUCAAAACCUGUUCAGACUUCAGAUCUUAUACAGACACGCCUUCAUGACAGUUUACUGCACUACAGCAAAAGAACAAGUGAGACAGGGAAAAAAAAAUGAAGAUAUUGAAGGGGAGAACAGUACCUUAAGGAACAGCAUCCAGUCA